rnacentral:lncRNA from 1 species
CAUGUACUUGAAAUAAAUUUCAACAAAAGAAACACAUUGUGUACUAUCUAUAGUAUUACAGCAGUGUUAGUUCAAGAAGUUCACUAGCAAAGACCUCUACAAAACCAAAUGUACUCAUAUUCAGUGUCAACAAAAAUAAACAUCUUGCUCCAAAGGUCUUCACCACUAACUUCUAAUGAUUCAAAUUGAUUUGUGGCCACCAUUUUCAAUUGCAUCAGCUGUAUUUUCAUACACAUUCAAAUAAAAAAAAAUUGGGAAGAAAUGCUUGUAACGAGAACAAGGAUCAAAAGAAAGCCUGAAAAUACUUUCGCUGAAAGGCUUAUGUAUUGUACCAAAAUAUGUAUUAUGAAAAGACUCAUUUCAGAAGCAUAUUAAUAAUAACAAAUUAUAUAAAAAACUUCCUAAACGUUGAUCAAUUUUCAACUUGCAGAAUUAAACUCAACAGUGCAAAAUAAAACUCAACUAUACUGCACCAAAAUAUGUAUUAAGCCUAUUUUGUGCAACGAACAACACUCAAUAACCCUAUUUAGCAUUAGAUGGAUUCUUCAUCAAUUACUUACUAAACCAUGCGUAUAUAAGUUUUUGGCAAAAUUCAUCUUGGCAGUAGGGUACUCAUACACUUGAAAGAAUCUUAACUGCAGAGAGAAAUGUAAAUAUAAUAAAUUUAAGGUACAGUGAGCCUCUAGCAUACAAGGUUACAGAGCUUUGUAAACUAGAUUGGACAAGUUUCACCAUGUGAGCCUCUAGCAGAUAAGCUUACAGAGUUUUGUAAAUUAGAUUGGACAAGUUUCACCACAGUAAUAUCAACAAAAUCACACUCCCCCUCUUACCUACAUACUGGUAAAUCCAAGGGGAUUUUAGAAACAUAACUAGGUAAAUGGCAUGUAGUUAUAAUCAGGUAUGAAAUAGCUUAAAUCUGUCAUACAAAAUGAGGGCGUAACGGGAGGUAAAGAAAAUCAUAUCUUAGUUUUAAAUUAGAUGAAGCUCCUAAGAAACUUGUUACUGGGAACAUUCUGCAGUAAUAUGUCCGAU